ensembl:snRNA U6 U6 spliceosomal RNA
AUGCUCUCUUCAGCAGCACAUACGCUAAAACUGGAACAAUACAGAGAAGAUCAGCGUGGCCCCUGUACAAGGAUGACACACACAUUCGUGAAGUGUUCCACAUUUUA